rnacentral:rRNA from 1 species
UACGGGGGGGGCAAGCGUUGUUCGGAAUUACUGGGCGUAAAGGGCUCGUAGGCGGCCAACUAAGUCAGACGUGAAAUCCCUCGGCUUAACCGGGGAACUGCGUCUGAUACUGGAUGGCUUGAAUUCGGGAGAGGGAUGCGGAAUUCCAGGUGUAGCGGUGAAAUGCGUAGAUAUCUGGAGGAACACCGGUGGCGAAGGCGGCAUCCUGGACCAACACUGACGCUGAGGAGCGAAAGCCAGGGGAGCAAACGGG